rnacentral:rRNA from 1 species
UACGUAGGGUGCAAGCGUUGUCCGGAAUUAUUGGGCGUAAAGAGCUCGUAGGCGGUCUGUCGCGUCUGCUGUGAAAACUCAGGGCUUAACCCUGAGCUUGCAGUGGGUACGGGCAGACUAGAGUACAGAAGGGGGCAACUGGAAUUCUCGGUGUAGCGGUGAAAUGCGUAGAUAUCGAGAGGAACACCUGCGGCGAAGGCGGGUUGCUGGGCUGAUACUGACGCUGAGGCGCGAAAGCUAGGGGAGCGAACGGG